rnacentral:rRNA from 1 species
UUAAGCGACUAAGCGUACACGGUGGAUGCCCUGGCAGUCAGAGGCGAUGAAGGACGUGCUAAUCUGCGAUAAGCGUCGGUAAGGUGAUAUGAACCGUUAUAACCGGCGAUUUCCGAAUGGGGAAACCCAGUGUGUUUCGACACACUAUCAUUAACUGAAUCCAUAGGUUAAUGAGGCGAACCGGGGGAACUGAAACAUCUAAGUACCCCGAGGAAAAGAAAUCAACCGAGAUUCCCCCAGUAGCGGCGAGCGAACGGGGAGCAGCCCAGAGCCUGAAUCAGUGUGUGUGUUAGUGGAAGCGUCUGGAAAGGCGCGCGAUACAGGGUGACAGCCCCGUACACAAAAAUGCACAUGCUGUGAGCUCGAUGAGUAGGGCGGGACACGUGGUAUCCUGUCUGAAUAUGGGGGGACCAUCCUCCAAGGCUAAAUACUCCUGACUGACCGAUAGUGAACCAGUACCGUGAGGGAAAGGCGAAAAGAACCCCGGCGAGGGGAGUGAAAAAGAACCUGAAACCGUGUACGUACAAGCAGUGGGAGCACGCUUAGGCGUGUGACUGCGUACCUUUUGUAUAAUGGGUCAGCGACUUAUAUUCUGUAGCAAGGUUAACCGAAUAGGGGAGCCGAAGGGAAACCGAGUCUUAACUGGGCGUUAAGUUGCAGGGUAUAGACCCGAAACCCGGUGAUCUAGCCAUGGGCAGGUUGAAGGUUGGGUAACACUAACUGGAGGACCGAACCGACUAAUGUUGAAAAAUUAGCGGAUGACUUGUGGCUGGGGGUGAAAGGCCAAUCAAACCGGGAGAUAGCUGGUUCUCCCCGAAAGCUAUUUAGGUAGCGCCUCGUGAACUCAUCUCCGGGGGUAGAGCACUGUUUCGGCAAGGGGGUCAUCCCGACUUACCAACCCGAUGCAAACUGCGAAUACCGGAGAAUGUUAUCACGGGAGACACACGGCGGGUGCUAACGUCCGUCGUGAAGAGGGAAACAACCCAGACCGCCAGCUAAGGUCCCAAAGUCAUGGUUAAGUGGGAAACGAUGUGGGAAGGCCCAGACAGCCAGGAUGUUGGCUUAGAAGCAGCCAUCAUUUAAAGAAAGCGUAAUAGCUCACUGGUCGAGUCGGCCUGCGCGGAAGAUGUAACGGGGCUAAACCAUGCACCGAAGCUGCGGCAGCGACGCUUAUGCGUUGUUGGGUAGGGGAGCGUUCUGUAAGCCUGUGAAGGUGUACUGUGAGGUAUGCUGGAGGUAUCAGAAGUGCGAAUGCUGACAUAAGUAACGAUAAAGCGGGUGAAAAGCCCGCUCGCCGGAAGACCAAGGGUUCCUGUCCAACGUUAAUCGGGGCAGGGUGAGUCGACCCCUAAGGCGAGGCCGAAAGGCGUAGUCGAUGGGAAACAGGUUAAUAUUCCUGUACUUGGUGUUACUGCGAAGGGGGGACGGAGAAGGCUAUGUUGGCCGGGCGACGGUUGUCCCGGUUUAAGCGUGUAGGCUGGUUUUCCAGGCAAAUCCGGAAAAUCAAGGCUGAGGCGUGAUGACGAGGCACUACGGUGCUGAAGCAACAAAUGCCCUGCUUCCAGGAAAAGCCUCUAAGCAUCAGGUAACAUCAAAUCGUACCCCAAACCGACACAGGUGGUCAGGUAGAGAAUACCAAGGCGCUUGAGAGAACUCGGGUGAAGGAACUAGGCAAAAUGGUGCCGUAACUUCGGGAGAAGGCACGCUGAUAUGUAGGUGAAGUCCCUCGCGGAUGGAGCUGAAAUCAGUCGAAGAUACCAGCUGGCUGCAACUGUUUAUUAAAAACACAGCACUGUGCAAACACGAAAGUGGACGUAUACGGUGUGACGCCUGCCCGGUGCCGGAAGGUUAAUUGAUGGGGUUAGCCGCAAGGCGAAGCUCUUGAUCGAAGCCCCGGUAAACGGCGGCCGUAACUAUAACGGUCCUAAGGUAGCGAAAUUCCUUGUCGGGUAAGUUCCGACCUGCACGAAUGGCGUAAUGAUGGCCAGGCUGUCUCCACCCGAGACUCAGUGAAAUUGAACUCGCUGUGAAGAUGCAGUGUACCCGCGGCAAGACGGAAAGACCCCGUGAACCUUUACUAUAGCUUGACACUGAACAUUGAGCCUUGAUGUGUAGGAUAGGUGGGAGGCUUUGAAGUGUGGACGCCAGUCUGCAUGGAGCCGACCUUGAAAUACCACCCUUUAAUGUUUGAUGUUCUAACGUUGACCCGUAAUCCGGGUUGCGGACAGUGUCUGGUGGGUAGUUUGACUGGGGCGGUCUCCUCCUAAAGAGUAACGGAGGAGCACGAAGGUUGGCUAAUCCUGGUCGGACAUCAGGAGGUUAGUGCAAUGGCAUAAGCCAGCUUGACUGCGAGCGUGACGGCGCGAGCAGGUGCGAAAGCAGGUCAUAGUGAUCCGGUGGUUCUGAAUGGAAGGGCCAUCGCUCAACGGAUAAAAGGUACUCCGGGGAUAACAGGCUGAUACCGCCCAAGAGUUCAUAUCGACGGCGGUGUUUGGCACCUCGAUGUCGGCUCAUCACAUCCUGGGGCUGAAGUAGGUCCCAAGGGUAUGGCUGUUCGCCAUUUAAAGUGGUACGCGAGCUGGGUUUAGAACGUCGUGAGACAGUUCGGUCCCUAUCUGCCGUGGGCGCUGGAGAACUGAGGGGGGCUGCUCCUAGUACGAGAGGACCGGAGUGGACGCAUCACUGGUGUUCGGGUUGUCAUGCCAAUGGCACUGCCCGGUAGCUAAAUGCGGAAGAGAUAAGUGCUGAAAGCAUCUAAGCACGAAACUUGCCCCGAGAUGAGUUCUCCCUGACUCCUUGAGAGUCCUGAAGGAACGUUGAAGACGACGACGUUGAUAGGCCGGGUGUGUAAGCGCAGCGAUGCGUUGAGCUAACCGGUACUAAUGAACCGUGAGGCUUAACCUU